rnacentral:lncRNA from 1 species
CCAGGAUUCUGCCUCCAAGCUGCUGCAUCAAAUCUCUCCUGAGUUUCUAGCCCACCUCCUUGCCCUGUGGAUUUCAAACUCAAGACUGCAGUAUCAGUUCCCAACUUAGUUUCCAGCCUGCUGGUCCACCGUACAGAUUUCAAACUUCUAAUACUCCACAAUCACAGAAGCCAGGUCCUUAAGGCUAGAGUGCAGAGUGCAGUGGCGCAGUCUCGGCUCCCU